CGAUUCAAAAAAAAGCCCUCUUUCUCUCAAUUUUAAAUUCAAUUCAGAAAAUCGAAAAACUCUCUCAUUUCAUUCAGAUCUCAAAAUAAUUAUUUCCGAGCACACAGAAGGAAAAAAAUCUAAACAUGGCGGUGGCACCGACGGCGCGUGAGGAGAACGUGUACAUGGCAAAGCUGGCGGAGCAGGCCGAGAGGUAUGAAGAGAUGGUGGAAUUCAUGGAGAAGGUCUCCAACUCCCUUGGCUCGGAAGAACUAACCGUGGAGGAGAGAAACCUUCUCUCCGUCGCGUAUAAGAAUGUGAUCGGAGCGCGUAGGGCAUCAUGGCGUAUCAUUUCAUCGAUCGAGCAAAAGGAAGAGUCUAGAGGAAAUGAGGAACAUGUUAACUCUAUCCGCGAGUACAGAUCUAAGAUUGAGAAUGAGCUCUCUAAGAUCUGUGAUGGCAUUCUCAAAUUGCUUGAUUCUAAGCUUAUUCCUUCAGCAACAUCUGGUGAUUCCAAGGUUUUUUACCUGAAAAUGAAAGGAGAUUACCACCGCUAUUUGGCUGAGUUCAAGACCGGUGCUGAACGUAAGGAGGCCGCUGAGAGUACUCUCACAGCCUACAAAGCUGCUCAGGAUAUCGCAUCUGCUGAACUUGCCCCAACACAUCCCAUCCGACUUGGACUGGCUCUCAACUUCUCUGUGUUUUAUUAUGAGAUCUUG
rnacentral:misc_RNA from 1 species